rnacentral:tRNA from 1 species
AUUUAUUUAGUAUAAUAAGGUACAAUUGACUUCCAAUCAAAAAGACUGGUCAGCCAGAAUAAAUA